UGGGGAAUAUUGCACAAUGGACGGAAGUUUGAUGCAGCGACGCCGCGUGGAGGGUGUAGGCCUUCGGGUUGUGAACUCCUUUUUCUCGCGAAAAAGGCACAGUUUUGGCUGUGUUGAUGGUAGUGGGGGAAGAAGCGCCGGCUAACUACGUGCCAGCAGCCGCGGUAAUACGUAGGGCGCGAGCGUUGUCCGGUUUUAUUGGGCGUAAAGAGCUCGUAGGUGGUUCGUCGCGUCUGUCGUGAAAGCCAGCAGCUUAACUGUUGGUCUGCGGUGGGUACGGGCGGGCUUGAGUGCGGUAGGGGUGACUGGAAUUCCUGGUGUAGCGGUGGAAUGCGCAGAUAUCAGGAGGAACACCGAUGGCGAAGGCAGGUCACUGGGCCGUUACUGACACUGAGGAGCGAAAGCGUGGGGAGCGAACAGG
rnacentral:rRNA from 1 species